GUGCUCGCUUCGGCAGCACAUAUACUAAAAUUGGAACGAUACUGAGAAGAUUAGCAUGGCCCCUGUGCGAAAAUGACACGCAAGAAGAAAAACAAAAGGGAAAAAAAA